AUAGAGAAAUUAUCAUAAAUGUUCUUCCUUGAGCUGCGUCACCCCGCUGCAGUCCGUAAUGGACUGGCCUGAGGUCUCGCCACAAACAAGCGGCUGCUGGAAGAGAGUAGGUGAGUUGUGUUUAGUCUCUUUGCUAAAGAAAUUAGUCAAAGUUAAAAAGAUGUUUGGUGUCUAGUACUAUGGCUGUGACCCUAUAUGUCCUGUUGAUGAAGUUAGGUGCUGUUCUAAGCUUUACGACUCUACUAUAACUUGGUGAGGAAUCAUUCUAUUUUAUAACUUGCCAGUAGAUGGCGCUCAAUAACCUUAUUGUACAACAGGAAGAAACCAGUGCUUCUAA